rnacentral:rRNA from 1 species
UAGGAUAGAGGCCUACCAUGGUGAUGACGGGUAACGGGGAAUAAGGGUUCGAUUCCGGAGAGAGGGCCUGAGAAACGGCCCUCAGGUCUAAGGACACGCAGCAGGCGCGCAAAUUAUCCCCUGGCAACACUUUGCCGAGAUAGUGACAAUAAAUAACAAUGCAGGGCUCUUACGGGUCUUGCAAUUGGAAUGAGUACAAUUUAAAUCCCUUAACGAGUAUCCAUUGGAGGGCAAGUCUGGUGUCAGCAGCCGCGGUAAUUCCAG